rnacentral:rRNA from 1 species
GACGAACGCUGGCGGCGUGCUUAACACAUGCAAGUCGAACGAAGUGGCGAACGGGUGAGUAACGCGUAAUAAACCUGCCCUUCAGGGGAGGACAACAGUUGGAAACGACUGCUAAUACCGCAUACCGAAGGAAGGGAUGCGUGCUGCUGAGCUGGUUGGGGGGGUAACGGCCCACCAAGGCGAUGGGCCGUGGCCGGUCUGAGAGAACGAACGGCCACCUUGGGACUGAGACACGGCCCACACUCCGACUGGCGGCAGCAGUGGGGAAUCUUCCGCAAUGGACGAAAGUCUGACGAAGCAACGCCGCCUGCGGGAUGACGGCCUUCGGGUUGUCAAGCUCUGUGAAUCGGGACGCGGUACCCGAAUCGCAAGCCACGGCUAACUACGCGCCAGCAGCCGCGGUAAUUC